UUAUUAAAUUAACUUCAUACUCCGACGUAAGAAUGCAGUGUUUAGAUGACCUCUGGGGGAAUGCCGCGAGCGACAGGGUCGCCCCAAAGCAACGAGAUGUGUUCACAAAGGGUUGAAGUUCAGCACACGUGGUGCUCAGCUCGAUAAUGAUCCCUCCGCAGGUUCACCUACGGAGA
rnacentral:misc_RNA from 1 species